rnacentral:rRNA from 1 species
GCUAUACAUGCAGUCGAGCGAACCGAUGGAGUAGCUUGCAUUCCUGAGGUUAGCGGCGGACGGGUGAGUAACACGUAGGCAACCUGCCUGUACGACCGGGAUAACUCCGGGAAACCGGAGCUAAUACCGGAUAGGAUGCCGAACCGCAUGGUUCGGCAUGGAAAGGCCUUUGAGCCGCGUACAGAUGGGCCUGCGGCGCAUUAGCUAGUUGGUGGGGUAACGGCCUACCAAGGCGACGAUGCGUAGCCGACCUGAGAGGGUGAACGGCCACACUGGGACUGAGACACGGCCCAGACUCCUACGGGAGGCAGCAGUAGGGAAUCUUCCGCAAUGGACGAAAGUCUGACGGAGCAACGCCGCGUGAGUGAGGAAGGUCUUCGGAUCGUAAAACUCUGUUGUCAGGGAAGAACCGCCGGGAUGACCUCCCGGUCUGACGGUACCUGACGAGAAAGCCCCGGCUAACUACGUGCCAGCAGCCGCGGUAAUACGUAGGGGGCAAGCGUUGUCCGGAAUUAUUGGGCGUAAAGCGCGCGCAGGCGGCUUCUUAAGUCAGGUGUGAAAGCCCACGGCUCAACCGUGGAGGGCCAUCUGAAACUGGGG